rnacentral:rRNA from 1 species
CCGACGAUGUCCGAAUGCGGAAACCCAGUGCAAGUGGUUGCACUAUCGUUUGAUGAAUCCAUAGUCAAACGAGGCGAACCGGGGGAACUGAAACAUCUCAGUACCCCGAGGAAAAGAAAUCCACCGAGAUUCCCCUAGUAGCGGCGAGCGAACGGGGAGCAGCCCAGAGUCUUAAUCAGCAUCAGCAUCAGGAGAACGGUCUG